AUGGCGCCCUCCAGCCUGCUGUGGGCACUGGUGGCCUUCACCUGCUCUGGCUCCAGUGUGGCUCAGAAAGUAACUCAAAACCAGCCAACUAUAGUCACACGACAAGGGUCAAAAGUCACCCUGAAGUGUCGCUAUGAAACAAGCCUAAGCACAUACUACCUGUAUUGGUACAAGCAGCUUCCUGAUGGAAAGAUGACUUAUAUCAUUCAUCAGUACUCUUCAGCCAACAAUGCAGAAAAGGGUCGCUACAGUGUGAACUUUCAAAAGGAAAGAAAAUCCAUCAGCCUUACCAUCUCUUCACUGCAAAUAGAAGACUCAGCACGUUACUUCUGUACCCUGCAUGUCCACAGACAAGGCUUCGCCUUUAUCUUUGGGAAGGGGACAAAGCUGCUUGUCAAACCAAAUAUAAAGAACCCUGACCCCGCUGUGUACGAGCUGAAAGGCAACUCCAACAACACCCUCUGCCUAGCCACCGACUUUCAGUCUGACCAAAAUGUGUCGGCAUCCUCCAAUGACUACUCCAUCACAAACACAACAGCACUGGACAUGGAGAGUACAGCUUCCAAGAGCAACGGGGUCCUGGCCUGGAAGAAUGAAAGUAGUCCGAAUUGUUCCGCUGUCUUCGAGAACUACCAGUUCCGCUCCAGCGAAGGAAUUUCCUGUAAUGCCACAUUAAUAGAGCAAGGCUUUGAAACAGAUAUGUACCUAAACACCCAGAACGUGUUAGUGAUCGUGUUCCGGGUCUUCUUCCUGAAGGUGACUGGGUUCAACCUGCUCAUGACUCUGAGGCUGUGGUCCAGCUGAGGUCGCCAAGACUGAGAGCCCCGUGCUCCUGGCCCCUCGUCCCACACGCCUCUACUCAGUCCUCAAGCAGAGGUGCGCUCUAACAGCCCCCAGAGGAGAAGACUCCCUACGCCCCUCUGGCCCACUGGCAUCAUCUCCAAUUGGAGCCUGCAGGGUAUUUGUGAUCAAGAUGCCAAGUUGCUGCCCAGCUCUGCUGCCAUCCCGACUUCCCUCAUUGCUGCUUCUCACUGCCCGACAUUCCCUGCAAAGGCAGGGGCGGCGGCUGCCUCUCCUGGCUGGGGAGAACCUCCCUAAACUCCCCCCCCCAGAGAACUCCUCUGGGACCCCCGGGGGUGACAGCCCCCCAGUGGGUCCUCAGGCUCCAGCUCCUGCAGAAUGUUACACACAGUUUAUAUUUUUAAAUAGUGUUCAUAAGAAAUACAUAUCAUCCUUCUCCGCAAGAUGCCGGGGACAUGAUCUCAUUAUCCAGGCCUGCUUCUCUGUGUAUCUGAGCCACGCUGUAUAUCCCGCUGCCCACCACUUCAUUAAA